GAUGAACGCUGGCGGCGUGCCUAAUACAUGCAAGUCGAGCGAACAGACGAGGCUCUUGCUCCUCUGACGUUAGCGGCGGACGGGUGAGUAACACGUGUAUAACCUACCUAUAAGACUGGGAUCACUUCGGGAAACCGGAUCUAAUACCGGAUAACAUGUUGAACCGCAUGGUUCAACAGUGAAAGACGGUCUUGCUGUCACUUAUAGAUGGUUCCGCGCUGGUUUAGAUAGUUGGUACGGUAACGGCUUACCAAGGCGACGAUGCGUAGCCGACCUGAGAGGAUGAUAGGCCACACUGGAACUGAGACACGGUCCAGACGCCUAAGGGAGGCAGCAGUAGGGAAUAUUGCGCAAUGGGCGAAAGCCUGACGGAGCAAGGCCGCGUGAGUGAAGAAGGUCUUCGGAUCGUAAAAAACUGUUAUUAGGGAAGAACAAAUGUGUAAGUAAAUAUGCACGUCUUGACGGUACCUAAUCAGAAAGCAACGGCUAACUACGUG
rnacentral:rRNA from 1 species